CCUACGGGAGGCAGCAGUGAGGCAUAUUGGUCAAUGGACGCAAGUCUGAACCAGCCAUGCCGCGUGCAGGAAGACGGCUCUAUGAGUUGUAAACUGCUUUUGUACGAGGGUAAACGCAGAUACGCGUAUCUGUCUGAAAGUAUCGUACGAAUAAGGAUCGGCUAACUCCGUGCCAGCAGCCGCGGUAAUACGGAGGAUUCAAGCGUUAUCCGGAUUUAUUGUGUUUAAAGGGUGCGUAGGCGGUCGGAUAAGUUAGAGGUGAAAUCCCGAGGCUCAACUUCGGAAUUGCAUCUGAUACUGUUCGGCUAGAGAGUAGUUGCGGUAGGCGGAAUGUAUGGUGUAGCGGUGAAAUGCUUAGAGAGCAUACAGAACACCGAUUGCGAAGGCAGCUUACCAAGCUACUUCUGACGUUGAGGCACGAAAGCGUGGGUAGCAAACAGGAUUAGAUACCCCAGUAGUC
rnacentral:rRNA from 1 species